AUAAGUGGAGUCAGGAAUUUUUUCGACCAUCAUGAGAGAGACAAGUGGAUCAACCUUGUUGGGGAGGAUUUUAAUUAAUUGGUAUGAAUCGUUCCUCAAGGCUACACGAAUAUUAGGUUUAAUCUCCUUAAUAUCAAUAUCUGGACUAAUAUCAACGACAUAUUUGCCUUCAGGAUGGACUUUGACUAGAACUUUGUUCUUUCCCAUUGUCUUAAUCACUUCACCGACAUAACUUCCGGGUUCCUGAAGCAACUGAAUCUCCUCUCUUAGAAGGCGAACUCUUGCAUUUAGUCCGUUUCUUUGAGCCUCUAAUCGUCGUAAAUUUUGUGUCUUUUGGAGAAUAGCAAGUUCAGCAUCUUGAAUUUUUUGGGUAUAAUACUACAUUUUAUGUUAACAAUUAAUUAAAUAACUAUUACAUACCUGAACUAUGUUCUCAUUACUCUGUAAAACGUUAGUCUUCAGCACCUCCGUCAUUUUAUACUACU